rnacentral:rRNA from 1 species
GACGAACGCUGGCGGCGUGCCUAAUACAUGCAAGUCGAACGAGAGCGACCGGUGCUUGCACUGGUCAAUCUAGUGGCGAACGGGUGAGUAACACGUGGGUAACCUGCCCAUCAGAGGGGGAUAACAUUCGGAAACGGAUGCUAAAACCGCAUAGGUCUUCGAACCGCAUGGUUUGAGGAGGAAAAGAGGCGCAAGCUUCUGCUGAUGGAUGGACCCGCGGUGCAUUAGCUAGUUGGUGAGGUAACGGCUCACCAAGGCCGUGAUGCAUAGCCGACCUGAGAGGGUGAUCGGCCACAUUGGGACUGAGACACGGCCCAAACUCCUACGGGAGGCAGCAGUAGGGAAUCUUCCGCAAUGGACGCAAGUCUGACGGAGCAACGCCGCGUGAGUGAAGAAGGUUUUCGGAUCGUAAAACUCUGUUGUUAGAGAAGAACAAGUGCUAGAGUAACUGUUAGCGCCUUGACGGUAUCUAACCAGAAAGCCACGGCUAACUACGUGCCAGCAGCCGCGGUAAUACGUAGGUGGCAAGCGUUGUCCGGAUUUAUUGGGCGUAAAGCGAGCGCAGGCGGUUUCUUAAGUCUGAUGUGAAAGCCCCCGGCUCAACCGGGGAGGGUCAUUGGAAACUGGGGAACUUGAGUGCAGAAGAGGAGAGUGGAAUUCCAUGUGUAGCGGUGAAAUGCGUAGAUAUAUGGAGGAACACCAGUGGCGAAGCGACUCUCUGGUCUGUAACUGACGCUGAGGCUCGAAAGCGUGGGUAGCAAACAGG